rnacentral:rRNA from 1 species
GGUGGAGUGAUUUGUCUGGUUUAUUCCGAUAACGAACGAGACUCUAACCUGCUAAUUAGUCUUGCGAUAAGUUUGAGUCGUUUAGACUUCUUAGAGGGAUAAGUGGUUUUCAGCCACACGAAAUUGAGCAAUAACAGGUCUGUGAUGCCCUUAGAUGUUCGGGGCUGCACGCGCGCUACACUGGAUGGAUCAACGUGUUCGUCCCUGUGCCGAAAGGUACGGGAACACCGUUGAAAACCAUUCGUGAUCGGGAUAGGGGAUUGCAAUUAUUUCCCUUCAACGAGGAAUUCCCAGUAAGUGUGAGUCAUCAGCUCGCGUUGAAUACGUCCCUGCCCUUUGUAC